rnacentral:rRNA from 1 species
CCUACGGGGGGCAGCAGUGGGGAAUAUUGCACAAUGGGCGCAAGCCUGAUGCAGCCAUGCUGCGUGUGUGAAGAAGGCCUUCGGGUUGUGAAGCACUUUCAGCGGGGAGGAAGGCGGUGAGGUUAAUAACCUCAUCGAUUGACGUUACCCGCAGAAGAAGCACCGGCUAACUCCGUGCCAGCAGCCGCGGUAAUACGGAGGGUGCAAGUGUUAAUCGGAAUUACUGGGCGUAAAGCGCACGCAGGCGGUCUGUCAAGUCGGAUGUGAAAUCCCCGGGCUCAACCUGGGAACUGCAUUCGAAACUGGCAGGAUAGAGUCGUGGAGAGGGGGGUAGAAUUCCAGGUGUAGCGGGGAAAUGCGUAGAGAUCUGGAGGAAUACCGGUGGCGAAGGCGGCCCCCUGGACAAAGACUGACGCUCAGGUGCGAAAGCGUGGGGAGCAAACAGGAUUAGAUACCCCUGUAGUC